UACGGGGGGGGCAAGCGUUGUUCGGAAUUACUGGGCGUAAAGCGCGCGUAGGCGGCUUUGUAAGUUAGAGGUGAAAGCCCGGGGCUCAACUCCGGAACUGCCUUUAAGACUGCAUCGCUUGAAUCCGGGAGAGGUGAGUGGAAUUCCGAGUGUAGAGGUGAAAUUCGUAGAUAUUCGGAAGAACACCAGUGGCGAAGGCGGCUCACUGGACCGGUAUUGACGCUGAGGUGCGAAAGCGUGGGGAGCAAACAGG
rnacentral:rRNA from 1 species